GACGAACGCUGGCGGCGUGCUUAACACAUGCAAGUCGAACGAAGUGGCGAACGGGUGAGUAAUACGUGGGUAACCUGCCCUCCUUUUUGGGAUAAGCCUUGGAAACGGGGUCUAAUACCGAAUAAAGGGGGAUGGGCUCGCGGCCUAUCAGGUUGUUGGUGGGGUGAUGGCCUACCAAGGCGGUGACGGGUAGUCGGCCUGAGAGGGUGACGGGCAACAUUGGGACGGGGAUAGGGCCCAGACUCCGACGGGAGGAAGCAGUGGGGGAUAGUGCACAAUGGGCGAAAGCCUGAGGCAGCGACGCCGAGUGGGGGAUGAAGGCUGUCGGGUGGUAAACCUCUGUCGCGAUCGAAAGGGUAGGUGGAGAAGAAGCGCCGGCUAACUACGUGCCAGCAGCCGCGGUAAUUC
rnacentral:rRNA from 1 species